UACGAAGGGGGCUAGCGUUGCUCGGAAUCACUGGGCGUAAAGCGCACGUAGGCGGAUUGUUAAGUCAGGGGUGAAAUCCUGGAGCUCAACUCCAGAACUGCCUUUGAUACUGGCGAUCUCGAGUCCGGGAGAGGUGAGUGGAACUGCGAGUGUAGAGGUGAAAUUCGUAGAUAUUCGCAAGAACACCAGUGGCGAAGGCGGACUCACUGGCCCGGUACUGGACGCUGAGGUGCGAAAGCGUGGGGAG
rnacentral:rRNA from 1 species